UACGACUACAUAUCAGGCAUAUCAAUAAGCGGAGGAAAAGAAACUAACAAGGAUUCCCUUAGUAACGGCGAGUGAAGCGGGAAGAGCUCAAAUUUGAAAUCUUCAAGGUUCUACCUUGACGAAUUGUAGUUUAAAGAAGUGUUUUCUGUUGGAGUUUUGGUAAAAGUUCUUUGGAAUAGGACAUCAUAGAGGGUGAGAAUCCCGUAUUUGACCGUUACUUUCCAGCUGUGUGAUACACUUUCAAAGAGUCGGAUUGUAUGGGAAUGCAGUCCAAAAUGGGUGGUAAAUUUCAUCUAAAGCUAAAUAUUGGCGAGAGACCGAUAGCGAACAAGUACCGUGAGGGAAAGAUGAAAAGAACUUUGAAAAGAGAGUUAAACAGUACGUGAAAUUGUCAAAAGGGAAGCGUUUGACACCAGUGUUGUUUUUCCGAAAAAUCAAUUACGAAUGGCUUGAUUUUGUGUUGUAUUGACCUUAUCAGCUUUCUUCACUUUUUUCGAGUCUUUCUUAAUGCACUUUUCGGUUAACAAGUCAACAUCAAUUUCUUUUGUUGUAAAAGAGUAUUCGGAAGGUGGCUUUCUUUUCGGAGAAAGUGUUUAUAGCCCUAUACUUCUACAAUCGGAGAGAUUGAGGUCUGCAGCGUAGAUCCUUCGGGGUUAGAUACAUUUGUGCUAAGUUGUAGCUUUUCAUAGACAACUUGUUGACUAUGUUUAGUCUUACGGCUUACUCGCUUGUGCUAUUUUACCUACGCUUAGGAUGUUGAGUAGCGACAUACGCAC
rnacentral:rRNA from 1 species